GCAUGGCUAAAUAUUGUGUUCUUUUUAUCAGUAUUUUGCAUGCCAGAAACCAUGCAAAAGUAAAGUUUUCCCUUGAAAUGGCUUUUGCUGCUAUGUUGCUUUUUGUGGUAUAUGAUUAUUAAAAGUCAUUACAAAA